rnacentral:lncRNA from 1 species
AAAAAAAAAAAAAUCUUAUUAGGUCUUUUUCUUCUGGGACCUACAAAUGGCUGAACUAUUUACUGAAUGAAUAUCCUGUAUGCAUUUUGAUUUCUGGGUCCCAAGUGCAGGAGAACAGCUGGCAAACUGUUAUGUUCUUCCUGGGGUGCCUGAACAGCACACCUGCUUGGUGAGUUGCUCUUUUAGUUCUCAACUGGGAUGGGUCUCUCCUGCCUGCUCUGCAUGGUGGACGGACACUUGGUGGAUGUUCCAGUGACUGGCAUCUUGCAACCAUACUGGUUCUUCCAGGUAGCCUGCACUCAGCUUGAAGCCCAAGCAGGUGUUAUUUCCCUCCUGUCCUGGGUCACACAGGAAGAAAACCAGGACACACAGGUCAGGGGAACCCACAGCAUGUCCCUGAAGUCUAGACAUAACCUCACUCCUCCAGCUAACACAGCUGAGCCACUACAACCUGGUCUUAAGAUGGCCCAUCUUGAAGCAAGAAAGGAGUAGGCUGGAAAUCAUGCCUGCCUGUGAAAACACUGAGCUUGAUUUCUUCCUAUGGCUGAGGUGUCCUGGCCUUUUUGAAGGUCAAAUUUGCAAAUGCAUUUCUCCUUUCCUGAUUACAAAUCUACAGUUCUGAUACAAACAUACAUACACUAGCACAAUGUAUUUUUUUUUUUGAAAUCUAUUAAAAAUAUGAUUUGACAAAACAUCUUCUUAAAUGGCAGCAAUUUAU